UACGUAGGGUGCAAGCGUUGUCCGGAAUUAUUGGGCGUAAAGAGCUCGUAGGCGGUUUGUCGCGUCUGCUGUGAAAACUCAGGGCUUAACCCCUGAGCCUGCAGUGGGGUACGGGCAGACUAGAGUGUGGUAGGGGGAGAUCGGAAUUCCUGGUGUAGCGGUGGAAUGCGCAGAUAUCAGGAGGAACACCGGUGGCGAAGGCGGCUCACUGGGGCUUUUCUGACGCUGAGGAACGGAAAGCCAGGGUA
rnacentral:rRNA from 1 species